GCAUAGACUAAUAUGAUAGUAAUAGCUAGAACAGUGAGAGAAACACGUAGUUAUCCAAGUUAAUCAUAUUCUAAAUCCAACCAAAUAUCAUAUAUCCAAAAGAUACUUAAACAUAAAUCAAGGAAAGACAAAAUGGUGACAAAGUUUAGGCAUAAACAAAAUCUCUUGCAAAACCUAAAAACAUAAAGAUAAGUAUCUCUUGUAUUAAAAUUGUCACACAAUGGCAUCGGCACUACUUGCAAUCUUGAAACAGAAUCCACGCUCAUACAAUGGCAUUGGCAGCACUUGCAAUCCUAGGCCAAAGAUCAGCACAUUCCUUAGCAAUUGGACCGGUGAUAGCAGAACCUACAAUAAACAGCAUGACAUAGACCAUCAAGACACAAUCAAAUACCAGCAAUGAAUCAAUUAGACAAAACGGUACAAAGGUAACAAUGUAGCAAACUAACAAAAAGACAGGUGGUAUAAUGAUAUUUUUCUUGUGAAAAAAUAACACCCAAGCAUUACCACAUUGUAACAAAAACCAAAAGGCACGGAAGCAAGUGUAUUAAUUUAAUAUUACACUUCAGUUACAAAAGACCUAAACAUAUUGGCAUGAGCAUUAGGUCCCAAAGUAUAAACAGUAUUUAAUACAGAGAUAUCAGACAAAUGAACAAAUGAUACCUUUCAUUUCUCCCUUAGGAUUCACAAUAACACCAGCAUUAUCUGCAAAAACCAACACCACAUAUUAACAAGAGUACACCAGCAAAAGCAUAUAAUUAAAAUUGAGAGCGCCACAAAUUAACAAGAAUAAGUUAUGUUGACAAAAAUUAAUAUAUUGAAUGAAUUAAAUCUGUAAAUCUAAUCAGGCUAAAAGUAAAAUGAUUGAAUUGAUAUUGGCUAAAAAGAUUCAAAGUAAAGUGACUUACUUGAUUUUGUAAAAUUAAUUCAAGCUAAGAGUAAGUUUAAGUAAAGUGAUGUAUGUUUUGAGUUGAACAACAACUUUGAGUGCCUCAAUUCUAGACUCAUAAACUUCCAAUAAAUAGCUUUAAGUAAAAUCAAUUCUACCAAGAGGAACCAAAAUUGAUUCUAUAAGUGUAUAAUUGAUUAUGACAUGUAUGGUUAUGUUUAAAACGAAAUUUACCAGUAGACAGGUAGCACAAUGAAACAAAAAUACACAUCAUGCUGUUUAAGACUGGCAAUAACAGUUAUAUGCUUCUCCAAUAUGAAUGACCAAUCAGAACACAGAUCACUCAUAAUGAAUUUACAGAAGCAACAUUUCCAAAAUCAAAAAAGCAUGAAUCAAAACAGCGUGUGUUUGUUACCUUCAAAGUACAUGAAGACACCGUCCUUUCGGCGCCAUGGCUUACGCUGACGAACGAUGACAGCUGGCAAAACCUUCUUCCUGAGAUCAGGCUUUCCCUUCUUCACAGUAGCCAUCACCAUGUCACCAGCACAAGCUGAAGGAAGACGAUUCAACCUACCCUUGAUUCCCUUCACGGAGAUGAUGUACAGAUUCUUUGCUCCGGUGUUAUCAGCACAGUUCACCGUCGCCGCCACUGGUAGACCCAGUGACAUACGGAACUUGUUCCCGGCGGAACCACCACGACCU
rnacentral:lncRNA from 1 species